rnacentral:rRNA from 1 species
ACUACGGAGAGUUUGAUCCUGGCUCAGGACGAACGCUGGCGGCGAGCUUAACACAUGCAAGUCGAACGCGAACGCUCCUUCGGGAGCAAGUAGAGUGGCGCACGGGUGAGUAACGCGUAGCCAACCUGCCCUUGAGAGGAGGAUAAGCGCUGGAAACGGCGUCUAAUACUCCAUAUCGUCCCGCCCUCGCAUGAGGUCGGAAUCAAAGCCUUCGGGCGCUCAAGGAUGGGGCUGCGUCGAAUUAGCUUGUUGGUGAGGUAACGGCUCACCAAAGCGACAAUUCGUAGCUGGUCUGAGAGGAUGAUCAGCCACACUGGGACUGAGACACGGCCCAGACUCCUACGGGAGGCAGCAGUGGGGAAUCUU